AGCAGAAAAGAUGAAAGUGUUUCUACAUUACGGUCCCUUUCAGAGAUGAAAUGGUGUUUACCACUCGGAAAAACCAGUGACUCCGUUGAUAGAUGGUCUUGCGUCAGCUGGGUUUACGGUGGUACCUGUGCAAGUUAAGAGCCGCGAUGCCUGUGAGCUACAUAUAGACAAGAAACGUGUUUGGAAAUGUAACAUCCAAGAGCUUUUUACAGUCACUGUGAAAAAGUCCUCAUUAAUCAGAGAUGCCAUAAGAGCCUGUGAAUCUGCGAAGAAAAUGUAGUUCUUCUUUCUGACUUUCUUGGACGUUUACAACUCCACAACGUCAUUUUAUAAUAGCACAGCAGUUCUUCAUUUCACAUUCCUAAGCCUAAAGGUUUAGAAAAGCUUUUUGGUGGAAUACGUUUUUCUGUUUUAUACGUGAUGAAGAAAACUGAAAUU